CGCCCUGAAGCUGAAUUCAAGGUAAUAAGUGGUUUUGGUUGGCUGAUAAAUGAUCCUUAAUGCUAGAAUCUAUCGAGGGCAAAGAGAGAUCCUCAUUUUCAUGUUUCUUCGACUCUGUUUCUCUCUUCUCAGAACGGAACACGGCUUUUCUUCCGAGGCCAGCUCAUUUGGGAGACGAUUAUGGAUGAGCUGUUGUCGAUGGGCAUGUCAGAUGCGAAACAGGUAGCAUCCUCGUGAUCUUGUAUUAAGGAUUUUGUUAAUGAUAUAUUGGUGACUAAGAAAGUCAGUCUUGCAUUUCCAUGUAUAAAUCUAUAAAGUAUUCCUUAUCGUUUCUGCGUUUCUAGGAUUCACUUAUUUAAUCUCUUUGUUUUCUUAAUACAUAUUUGAGAAAAUUGUAGGGCAUACUUACAGGAUGUUCUGCUGGUGGUUUGGCAACUCUUAUACAUUGUGACUACUUUCGUGAUCAUCUCCCAAAAGAUGCAGCUGUCAAAUGUGUUUCUGACGGAGGCUUCUUUCUCAAUGUGUAUGUUUCCGCUCAUAAACUGCCUUUUCUCAUGAAUUUUAAAGAGACUUGUGAGUUCUGGUACUUUUUGGUUAAGUUCUUUGGGUCUAAGCUGAUUUAAAGAAGCAAAACUUGUGAGACUAUUUUAGAAUUGUUUGCAGACUAUACUACACAGAGCUAAGAAAAUUACUGUCAGUGUGAUAUCAGCUUAACAGUGUCUCUCAAUCUCAGUAAAGCUGUUUUUCUUCUUUUUCAGGCCCGAUGUCCUUGGACACCCUACGAUGAGAUCUUUCUAUCAUAAUGUUGUUAACCUGCAGGUUUCCCAUUCACUUUAUGUCAAUAUUUAAUCGUACAUUUUCGUGAAUGCUUCAUCGAAGUGAACAAGAACAUGUCAUGGCAUUCUCUGUCAUGGCUUUGGGCUGAUUUUCAAUGAUUGAUUCCAACUAGGGCGUUGAAAAGAGCUUGGAUCAUAAUUGUGUAGCCAAACCAGAGCCAUCCACGGUAGAAUCCGUCUCUUACUUUGUUAAAAUCUUUCUUGACUGAUUAUGAUUUGUGUUGAGACUUUUUCUUAUGUUUUGCAGUGUAUGUUCCCUCAAAAAUUCCUUAACAACAUAAGAACACCAGUAUUUCUUGUCAACCCUGCUUACGACUUUUGGCAGGUUAGAGUUUCAAAGCCAAACACUAAAACUUUUUGCCUGUUUCUGUUUGAUGUAACUUCAAUUCAUGUUUAAUGUUUUACUAAUACCAAGCACAUGUUCAGAUUCAACAUGUGUUGGUACCAGCUUCUCCUAAUUUAGAUAAAAGUUGGGCAAAGUGCAGACUCAAUAUUAAGGAGUGUGAUGCCGCACAGAUGAAAGUUCUACAUGGUAAUUUACUCCUUAGUUAAGCUUAAUGACCAAAAUUAAUAAUCAGUUGAUCUGAUCUGUUUUUCUCCUUGGGAAUUUAUGAUUCUUGGAAUAAAUUCUCCGUAUACUUCUUUGUAAAAUGGUCAGUUGUAUAAAUCCCUAUUUGAUAUGCAGGUUUUCGUAGCUCUAUGAUGGAUGCUAUCGGGAAGUUUCAUCAGAACAAAGCUGGUGGGAUGUUCAUAGAUUCAUGCUACUCUCACUGCCAGACACUUAUGUCAGCGACAUGGCACUCCCCAACCUCAACAAGAAUCGAAAAUAAGGUCAAGACAUGUUACUCACACAAUCUGUUGCUUUCUUUCUUCUUACAAUUCAACUGAUUCUGUUCUCUUGUUGGAACAGACUAUUGCAGAGUCUGUAGGUGACUGGUACUUCAACAGAAAACCGGUGAAGCUAAUCGAUUGUCCUUAUCCGUGCAAUCCAUCUUGUUACAACCUGAAUUUCACCUGAACGUGCCCUAUAGCUGGCAUUGACCAACCCCCUCUGCUUUUGGAUUUCUCCUCAAGUUUCAUCAUCUGAGGGGUAGCCAUUCUCGAAUCCUCAAUCCAGUUGAGUCCUAAAGGUUAUCAUGUUCUUGAAGCAUGAAGAUAUCUAGAGAAUGUCACCUGCUUUGUAUUAUUUUUUAGUUGAUUGAUCACCGAGGGGAGACUUUACAAAAGCAGCACAAUUCAUAAUCCAUAUUGGCAUAUUGCAUAUGUAUAUAUUAUUGUGAUCGUAAUAUAUUGAAAUGAGGUUGGUUUUGUGUGGAAAGAAGUUCCAGUGUUAUGUUAAUGGGGGAAAGAAGAGUGAAUCUGAAUCGUUUAAAUGUGGCCGAACCUUCCAAGUGAUGGAAUGUUCGUUCAGAAAAUAUCUUGUGAAAACUUCAUAGUUCAGCAGUUUACUUAACAGGUUCACUAAUGUUUGUACAUAAAAAAAUCUUAUACUACUAAAAGCAGAAUAAUCAGAGCAACGAGAGUGCCACGUAUGCUUUUUUAUUCAGGCCAAUCAGGUACAUUUAUUUUGCCACGUCAGACUCACGUUUUCUUUCGGCUAAAGUUUACUAAUAUUCUGUGGGUUUCGUGAUUACGCUUUGGGCUAUAUGAUUGCGAUUUGGGCUUCGGGGUGUUUUGUCUUUGGGACAAAAAUCAGAUUCGACUUCGCAAAAUGACGAUUCUCCUCACCCUUUCCACUUCGUUUUCUCCGAUCGAAGAUCAACGAAUCGUAAAAUCAAUCGAUUCAACCUCCGCAAUCAAUACUUUUGUUUUGAUCAAUCAAUACCUCCAUUAUGAUUUCGUUUCACCUCCCUCUUUUCCUCCUCCUUUAUAUGUUGAUCUUUCUUCUUCGUACUAAACAAAACCCUAGAAAUACUCAGAUCUCAAGCCAUGGCGAUGAAACGAAAUGGGAAGUCUCCUGCCUCUUCCGCCUCUGACGAAAAAGUGAUGUUCUUCAAAGAUGUCUCUCUAGGUCCCCAUGAAACCCAAUUGCGCUUCCGACUCAUUCAUUUCUGGGAGGCUCGGAACCCGGUGAAGAAGACCCUUAUUGGCCUGGAAAUGCUUCUCAUCGAUGAGCAGGUACGUCAAUUCUCUCAAGAUUUUUCAAGACCGUCAGAUUUGGUUAGGGUUAAUUAGUUAUGUUAGAUUAGUUAAUUAAAAUUUGAACCGUGAUUAAUUAGUUUUGUAAAUAAAACUUAAAAAAUUGAUUUUCACAUUUUUUUAUACGGGUGUUAAGUUAUUUUGUAGGGUCUGAUAUCGUAUCUGUUUAGAUUCUGAGGUUUGGUUCCCAUUUCGUGUUUUGUUAUUCUUUUCCGACAAUAAAAAUUGUUUCUAGACCGUGAUAUCUGUGUAAGGGUUAAUUAGUUAGGUUAGAUUAGUUAAUAAAACUUUGAACCGUGGUUUUGACGUUUUCUAAAACAUAUUUGUUUGGUAUCGUAUAUGUUUAAAUUCCGAGAUUUGAUUCUCAUUUCGUGUUUUUUAUUAUUUUCCGACAAUAGGGAAGUGUCAUUCAAGGAUUCAUCCCACCAGGACGUAUCAAGAAAUACUUGCCUGAUAUGAAGCAAGGAUCAGUUUACAAACUCAUCAACUUCUACGGAUCGAAGAACAAACCGAUGUAUCGGGUUGCUGACCAUAUCGCAACCGUGUCCUUCACAUGGAACUCUGAGUUGUCGGUUCUUCUCGACAUUCCAAUCUCUUUUGAUGAAGACCGUUUCAGGUUUCAUUCGUAUGAGGAUUUUGAGGCUAACUGUGAUCUCAAAGGUGACCUCUAUGGUAAGCAUACAUUACUUUAUAUUUUAUGUAGUUUUGGUUUGCCUUCAUGUUUGUUAAAGAAUUAUAGAACUUUGUUGGGUUAAAUAAUUAGUUCAAGUAUUUCUCUCUUUAGUUUUAUAUUAGACAUCUGAAUUACUUUCUUUAUGAUAAAUGUUAUAGAUGUUGUUGGUCACAUGAAGCUGGUGGAUGGACAGACUCUUACCGAGCGUCCCACUGUUGAUGAAGCGAAGAUCGCUACCACUCGGCACGUUAUGGUUCAUGUGCAAUCACAUGAGUAAGUGUGUUCUUCUAUUUUUAAUACACCAUCUCUCUUUAGUUCCUAAGUCCCUAAGAGUUUUUUUUUUUUUUUUGCAGAGGACCUGUCAUGAAGCUCUACCUAUGGGACCAGGCUGCAACAGAAUUCUGCAAGAAGUUUAAGUCCUAUGAAAACACUCCCACAGUGCUUUUGGUCACAGCUGUUAACACUAAACGUCUCGGAGGUAAUCAAUUAUCCCUUUGGAUUCACGUUUUCACUGAUCAUUGUGUAACGUUUUAGCUUAUUAAACAUUCUAAAAACGCUUUUUUCUUUUAAAUUGGCUGCUAUUUCUAGACACUAUCAUUUUUAAUGCUUCUUACUUUAUCGAACAGGUACUCUGGCACUGAGCUCUAUGUCUCCCACACGGGUUUUCAUGGACUAUGAUGUCCAACCAACCAUUGAUUACUUCACCUGGUAUGUACCCCCAGCUACAAACGUUCGUGUUGAGCACAUAGUUACACAAAUUGAAGUGAUUGACUGAAGCAAUGCUUUCUAUUUAUUGUUAGGCUCGCCUCAAACCCAGAGAUUGCUAAGCAGGUUACUGCAGAGGUGGUCACUAAGCGGGAGACGAUGACCAUAGGAGAAAUAUUCUCUUACAUGACUCAGGAAUCUGCAAAGGUAAAUACAAAUCUAACUAUUACUUGCCAAUUUUUAAGCGCUUAUCUAUUUAUAUCAAAUGCUUUUGAACUGUUGCAGGAUGCCUUUUUUGAGUGCACUGCUACAAUUGAUGAUGUUGUUCAUGGAUCUCCUUGGUACUAUAUUGCAUGCGCUGAGUGCCAUAGUAAGGCUACCAAAGGCGCAAACUCAUUGAUUUGCACCAACCCAAAAUGUGUGAAGGACAGCACAGCUGGUGUUGCACAGUAUGUUCACUGGCCUCAAUAUUCAAUUACAUUUUUCCUUAUAUAAGUUUUGGAUUAUUAACUUCUGAUUCUUACAUAACAGGUACCGUGCAAAGAUUUCUGUUUAUGACAGCAGUGAACAAGCUUUUUUUGUCCUGCUUGGUGAUGCUGGUCUUCAGUUGACUGGGAGGCACGCAUCUGAGUUGGUUAGCAGAUACUUUGAGGUAAAUUUCUAUCAGUUUAUACUCUCAACUUAUUUAAACUCACACUACUGUAUUUGAAUACAAGGCUAAUAAAGACAAAGGCCCUGACCAUGAGGUGCCUGUCCCGGAAUCUCUGAUCAGCACAAUCGGGCAGACCCAUAAAUUUUGUGUGAAAGUCACAGACCACAACUUCUCUGGCAGCACCCGAGCUAUAACUGUCACCAAGAUCCUCCCUCUAGACACACCAUCACCCACAGAAUCCUCUCUUGGAAACGCCAUUGCUGCAACGUCCGAGGAAGCAGUGCAGACUGGAAGUGACGUAUGUGGUUCUUCAAAAAGCCAUGGAGAUUCUGCAGAUGAGGAGAGUAAGAGGACGUUUGAAAGUGUUGAUCCAGAGAAAGUCAAACGGCCAAGAUGUGAGAAUUGAAGCUUCAGUUCAGUGAUGUUUAAGUCUUUGCUUUGAACUUCAAGUAUUGCAUUGGUUUCUGAAAGUUUGCUUCAGUUUAAGUACUAUUUUGGUUUUCAGCAAGACAUUGCUUUGUUUCAUUUCAUUUCAGACUUUGUCUUUGGUCAAUUGAAUUAUCUUUCCUUAAAAGCUUUCCCGUUUCUUUCAAAUAAAUUGUUUUCAUAUUUUCAAUUCAAUUAAUAAAUCCAAACGAUUUGGCCUCAUAAGAAAACUCGCUGGAUUUAAUUAUCUCCAUAGCCCAUAUCCAUUAUAAUCUCCAUGUCGUCAUCACACACGCACACGCAUAUCCCAAGCUGGUUUAGGUUUCAAUACGAUCUUUCUCAUUAGCUUAUCAUUUAGUCUAUCGUGUGUAAAUUUAUAAAAAAAUAUAGAAAAGUUAACGAACUCAACUUGCUACGAAUCAUAUUUUAGUUAAACCCAACGAUGAUGUUUAUUGGUAGUUUCAGAAAAAAAAACAUAUGCAUCAAAUUAAACAAUAUAUAAUUAAUAUGAAAAUGCAAAAAGAAUAUAGAAGAUCAAACAUUAAAUUCAACAAGACAACAAUAUAAAAUAUCUAUUUUCAUUUGCUUUAAUGUUGUUGGCACUUUCCGAUUUAUUGAUUUUAAAUUAUUUAUAAAUAAUCAAAAAAUUAUAAACAAAUAACCCGGGCGUAGCCCGGGCAAACCCUCUAGUUUGAUUAAUACUUGGUGUAAACAGAAAUAUCUAUUCUAUACUAAAAGGGAUAUAUGAAGAGUAGAGAGGGUGUCCACGUCCUCAAUUAAAAUCAGCCAAUAGGGUGUCUCAAAUUCGCCACGUCAUUUGCUCUUUUAUGUUUAAGCCGCUGUCGUAGUGACGCGUUUCCUCUGUACAUCUCAAUCGUCUCAACUUCCUUUGCUUCUCUAAAAAAUUAUAAAAAGUGUUACGAAACUCCUGCCAUCAACUUUUAUUUGCACCGUGAAUCUCUCUUCGUCUUCUUUCCCAUCCUAUAAGCAAUUUUUUUUACAUUGAUCUCUUCAUCUCCUUCCUGCAAAUUUGUGUUCUUUUGAUUCAACAUAAUUGAUUUAAAACUAGAUCCAAUGAUUCAAACUGAAAAAAAAUUCAGAUUCAAGCCGAUGCGCCAGGCAGCUUCGGCCAUCUCGGUGCUAAUCAGUAAGGAUUCAAUCAGUGCAAAGAAACGAAGCAUUGGAUUUGGGGUCAGCAUGUGUGCAAGCUUCUAAUAAAUCAGGUUCCAUCUCUCUCUCUCAAUAUGUUUCAUCUCUCAUGAAGUCUUAUGAUGCAUUCGUUGGAGCUGUUUAGUAGGUUCGGAGUAGAAACAUGGUAAGAUUAUUCCUGACUCUUUCAAAGCUGCUCAGACGCUUAGUAUAGACACAUAAGCUUCCGUUUAUUGUUAUCUUAUAUUUGAUCCAUGUCUUCUUACAGUGUCUAACAAAGAGAUCUCGAACUGGAUCGUGUAAGAUUACUUGAAAUCAAUCAAGUAUUGGAAUCAAUCCGUCAAGCUUUUCACCACCAGGUUCCAUAUCUUUCUCACUCACGACUUCCAAUCAAUCUUAACCCUAUUUUUUUAUCAUGCUUUAGUUGGAGUUGUUUGGUAAACAUGUGAGCUGCAGAAACUGGAUAAAGAUUAUUCUGAGUCUCUCAGAUGCUUAGUAUAGUCACGUAAUCUUCCCUUCCCUUUCUCCCUAUCUAAUUUUGUUAUAAUUGAUAAGGUAAGAGCUUAAUAAUGUAGUUAUUAUCUUAUAAGUUGCAGGUAUGGAUUCUGUAAAAUCAGUAUAUGAAAUUCAUUGUAUAAUUAUUUUGAUCCGGUGCAACAGGUCAAGUAUACGUCUCCCCCAGCUUCCCCACUCCGUAAGACCCUCUUUCCUCUGUUUUUAUUUCCUUUUGGUCUUCUGUUUUGGAUCUAAUCAAAAUCUUAGCUUCCCUCGGCCAUGAAUCCUCAGGUUGGUACAUGACCAGACCUGCAUAUUUGUAGACACCAUAUGCAAUAGUGUUAUAUUGGAUUUGAUAGAAAUAAACGCCCCUUGCUUUUUCAAAAUGUAUUUCCUUUACUUGUGACAUGCAUAUAAUUCGUUGUUUGUCAUUGAACAUCCUCCCUCUUAAUUUCUUCAUUUUUCUUACUUAAACAAUUUCUUACAUUUCCCUUCCAAUAACUAAUUAUCAUUACACUUACAUAGGUAGCGAGUUUUGAAUGCAUCACUGGACUGAUGGUGUUCUCCAAGUUCAUAGGGUGCAGUGAAUGCCAAACAAAAGUAACCCGAGGCGCCACAUCAUUGGUCUGCCUAUAAAUGCAAUAACCACAACGCCAUAGGUAAUGAGUGCUGGAUCUCUGAUGUGCCUGUCUGAACAUCUUCAAACAAUUAACGAGUGUUGGAUCUCUGUAUGAGCUUAGUGUAUUUGAAGUAACCUGUAGCAACACUAACUUCUGCUUUAGCGACAGCCCCAUUGCUAUUCGUUUCACUAACCAAACCGUCGGGGAGCUAUAUGAGACGGACAAACCGAUUGAUGGUAUUAGCAAACACGAGUACCGACAUACCAGGUUACCUUCGUAUUUCUAAUUUUCUGAAAUUGGCAUAAAGUAUUUCAUAUUACAAUUGGAAUUUUAUGGUAUGUGUUUAUUUGGCAGAUAUUGUUGGUAAGUUCGGGUAUUAGAACUGCUUACGACGAAAAGAGCCGGAGUACACAGCGCCACCAUAAGCUUUGAAUGGGUAUAUAUCUACUCACCAACUUUUAAACUUUUUAAUAACUUAGUCAUAUAGCAGGUUCCCAUGUCCCGACAAUAUUAAAGUGUUCCUCAAUGACUAUGCAGGCACUCUAAUGUCUUCCUAAGUGUGUUUGCUGAGUAAGGUCAUAAACCGAAGGUGGCGGUUGCCACUAACAUCAUCCCAAAACUGGCAAUGAAUGAACCGUCCUGUUUAGAACUUGCUUACGGAUUUCUUAAAAGGUUUUCUCUCUGUUUUAGAUAUUGUCUCAAGCCGUCUCUUCCUGAAUGAAACUUCAGAAACUCAUUUCUAUUUUGAUAAGGAUUGUGCUGUUGGUCAAAUUUAUCUAAAGAGGUAAUGAUAACCACACCUUUCUUUAUUUACCACUUACGAUGACAUAAUUAGUCCAGCACACUAACUCAUACCUGCUGUUUUUAGGGUAUGUUGUAGUGAGGAAGGCUCAACCUUCAGCACGUAGUCAUUAAGCUCUCCUAAUCACAAAUAAGUAGCUUAACAAUAUCUCAAUAACUGCACUUUGCGGAGUUCAUUUGCACUGGUGUUGUGAGUGAAAUAGAAACAAAAAGUGGAUGUUGCUUUGCUCCAAGUGCCACCGCAAAUUGCAGCAUGGGUUCUCAUCAUUUCAAUGUCCUCCCUGCAAUGAGGAGAAUACAGUUGGAGUUAUUAGAUAGUCUACCCUCAACAAACUUUGUAACAAUUAAUCUUAAAAUCCACAACUAUCCUAUGCUACGAGAGUAAUGCAUUACACUGGAUAAUAUAGGCUAGGUACCGUGUUCGAAUGACCAUAUCUGAUGCAACCGAUGCUGCUGAAUUUGUUGUCUUUGACACUGUAAUAACUAAACUAACUAAUAUCUGCGCAGCAAAUCCCUCCAACCAGCAGGUUCGUCUUUUUAAUUCCUUGCAUUCAUUCUUCUCUAAUUAUUGGAAAUGGCUGUUUAUAAGAUUAGUAGAUUACAUUAUGUUGCUUUUGCAGGUUGCUGUUUCACAAGACCUCCAGGAUUGGGACCUCCCACAAUGCGUACAUGAGAUCGCUGGUAGCACCUUAACCUUCCAAUUGAGUCUGUCUCACUUCAACAUCAGUGCCAUACAUCAGAUUUUCACUGUUUCCCGCAUUUUUUACUACAACCAGUGCCCACCUCAGCUUAAUUUUGAGGGUCAUGUCUCCAAUAAAUGCUCAAGUCUAUGCAACUUUACAUGGUCUUUGAUUACUGAUUAGGGAGUCACAUUUUCAAGGUAGGUAUGAUAAUCCCGGGGAUGAUACGCCAGCUGCUGGAGCUGUCAAAAGAAGCCACAGUCAUGUUCUCCAGAGCAGUCCCGUGAAUCAGGGUGAAAGUGAUGGUAAUGGUGAUGUUGCAUGAGGACGGUUGCUAUGACAAGAAGCCACAGACUGAUAAAGAACAAGUGGAGAUUCAGAUAGAAGACAUGCUGACAUGUUCGAUGCUUUUAUUUAAAAGUAAAACUGCCAAACACUAUGGUUUACUUUUUCAUGGUGGAGUUUUUUUCUUAUUUGGAUUUUCAUUGGUUUCAUUUUUUAACAUUUCCAUAGUCCGUAUACAUUUAACAGUCAAAACCCAAAAAAUCCUACUUCACAGACCUAUCACUUUUACUAACAAACUAAUUGAAAAUUAGAUAAAUUAUAUUAACGCGCUCAUAAUUUGUGGUCAUGUUUUUUUUUCUCAACUGCCAGGGAAGAUAACGAACUCGGUGUUAUUAAUAUCGCCUACUGGGAAGUUUUCAACAACCUCCAAAAACAAUAGGCUGCACAAUACAACAAACCCUCCAACACUACAAAUACAUUAGAAAGCUAAUCUAACUUCCCUUUUCAAAAGGUUGUGACACACGAAGCUCCAAAUCAAAAAGUAUAUAAAGCAGCCAGGAAUUCCCAACAACUCUUCCCAGCAACCAUGAGAACUAUAUUUUUCGACUUUAAUAUUUUAUUAAGUUUUACCAAAACUGAAUCAGGACAAUUGCACGCCAAAAUUCAUGUCUCCAACUAAAAAUAACAAUUCCGGAGAUGUUUGACAACAACACAUACCCAAAUAAAAUACAAAUCAAAUACAAUAAACAACUCACUCAACUUGAUGCAGACACUAAACUCUAUCGACGCUAGCUAACAAAAACCGUCAAAACACCAACUACAAUCCUCUGGCCCAUUAAAAAAAUUAUGGACCCAUAUCCUACUUUUAAAACAGCUAACCCACCAAAUCUAUACCACAAAACACUAACAAGACUCACACAUGCUUUGAAAAAACCCUCCCAAAACCAAUACUCAAAUUAUCCCACCACUCGGCAUUACACACAAAACUAUAUGUAGUAGAUUUUGAAUAAAAACAUUAUUAAAAACACACUCAUAAUAAUGGAUCAUAGAAUAUAUUCAGAUAUACCACAAUCAAACAUAAAACUCUAAUACACUAUUUUAAAAUAUUAAUAAAAUAUUACACAUAUAAUCUCAUGCAAAAUGACAAAAAUAAAAAUAAUAAUCUCAUGCAAAUACAUCACAAAAGAAUGUAUUUUCAUUAAAAAUAUAAAUGAAAUGAAUACUGAAAAUAAAAUAGUACAAACAAAAAAAUGUAUUUUCAUUAAAAAUAUAAAUGAAAUGAAUACUGAAAAUAAAAUAGUACAAACAAAAAAAUGUAUUUUCAUUAAAAAUAUAAAUGAAAUGAAUACUGAAAAUAAAAUAGUACAAACAAAAAAAUGUAUUUUCAUUAAAAAUAUAAAUGAAAUGAAUACUGAAAAUAAAAUAGUACAAUGUCAUAAAAUAUAGUUGAUAAAAAUCAAAACAGGUAAGAAUUGUAAACAGAGGUCAAAUGUUAACAAAAUAUUUAUAUAUAGUAUUAUUAGAAAAUAAAUUUUAAUUAUUAUAUUCAAUUUAAAGUAAACUUCAAAUGUUUUAUAAAAUUAAUAUUCAUCUUAGUAUAAAACGAUUUUAACGUAAACUUAUCCGCCCGUAGGGCGGGCCAACCCCUAGUAAGGCGUAAUAUUUUCAUAAAACGACUCGAUAUGGUGAAAAUAAAACCGUCUGUGAAUUUUCAUACUUGUAUAGAUUUGUCAGUUGCAGGCUUGCAGCGCCGGUCCAUGUAUAUGAAAGGUCCAUUCAAAACAAGGCUUUAGCUAUGUGAACCAAAUAAUAAACCAAUUGAACAAAUAUAUUAACACAAAUAUAUCAUAAAGCAUUACAAUUAACAUAAAUUGAAGCUAGAGAGUAAGAGUCAAUAUUUUAAUUUCUUAAAAAUAUAAUUAUAUAUAUAAAUUAUAAAAAUUAAGAACUAAAUAUAAUAAAAAUAUAUAUCAAAAUUAAAAUAAUAAAUAUUUACAUUUCUAAUGCGAAUAAUGAAAUUAACUUUUAAAUUUAAAAUAAGCCAUAGACAAAACAUCAAAAAGUAUCUAAUAAUAUGCGAAUAACAAAAGUAAACUAACUAAAUAAACAAUUAUAUUUUUUUUUGUAAACUUAAAUCAUUAAUUUGUAAUAGACGUAUACAUAUUAUUGAUGCUCAAAUCUAUUUUAUUUUUAGUAUGUAUCUACUCAAAUAUUAAUCCAUUAACAAGAUGGAAUUUUAGUUGGACUAAAAUUGUAUUAAAAUUGGAAUAUCAAUUUCAUAAUAUAUUCAUUAUUCAUCUGAACGUUCAUGAAUAUAUAUUACAAUACUCUAAAUAUAAUAAUAAAUCAAACCGGAUUACAUAUUGGGUCAUCUAUCAGUUCAACCGAUAACCAGAUCUCGGGUUUUAACAGUUGUUACGGGUUUUACAAAAUUUUUAAAUAACAGUUUUUUUUUUGAAAACUAAAAUGGAUUACAUAUGAACCACCGAAUUUGGCAAUUUAACUGCGGGUCGGGUCGGAUUUCAAAACAUUGAAUAUAAUUUUUCAUUUGUAAUAUCUAAGUGUAGAUACAAUUAAAAUACAAAUUUAUAUCAAAUAAAUUUGGAAUGUUUCGAAAAUAAUCCCGCGCUUUGAAAGCGCGGGUUUUAUAGAAUUUUUAAAUAACAAUUUUUUUUUUGAAAACUAAAAUGGAUUACAUAUGAACCACCGAAUUUACCAAUUUUACUGCGGGUCGGGUCGGGUUUCAAAACAUUGAAUAUAAUGUUCUAUUUGUAAUAUUUAAGUGUAGAUACAAUUAAAAUACAAAUUUAUAUCAAAUAAAUUUAGAAUGUUUCGAAAACAAUCCCGCGCUUUGAAAGCGCGGAUCAAAAUCUAGUUUUCUUUAAAAGAACAGUGAGCAGAUUUAGCUUUAAAAUAUUUUGAAUAAACCUAUAGUCCCUAAGCGAUCGCUUAUACUGCUUACAACCUGGUCGGCUGUAUAGUCUGUUUUUGUGAUAUUAAGAAAAAUAUGUUUUUAUAGAGAUAGACCAUUCCUGUUCCGUCUCUUCCUUUCCUUUUUAACGUGGGAUCUUACCUUCUUGACGUCCUCAUGAAGAAAAAUGGAUGUGACUAACCAUACAAAUGAGGCAUGUGCAUGUCCUCCGCACGUCUAAGCAAGAAUUAUGGUGAUUUAUUUAAUAAUAGUGUGUUCUUUCUUAAAGCAACAUUAAAAACGGCAUUGUGUUCUUAGAGUGGUUGAACAUUUUUCUUAGUGUGUUUUUAGAGUGUUUGAACAUUUAAUCUCGUUCGAAUCGAAUAAUAAUCACAACUAUGAAAUAUUUCAUGACUUUUUUUUUUUCAUUUUGAACAACAUUUCAUGACUUCUAUGUACCUUUACCACUUGUAUAUAUAUUUGGGGAAAAAAUAGUUUUAAAAACCACAAUAUAUAGGAGAAAGUCAGAUUUUAAAAGAAAAAACUCUCAGCUUCCACGUUCUUCAUUCCCGAAAUCGUUGACAAGUUUUUUAUAAGGAUCCACAAAAUGUAAUUACGUGCUUAAGCAUAAUAUAUGGUUAAGUUGAAAGACUAAUAUAUGAUAGUAAUAGUUUUGUUUUGAAACAUAUAUGUUGGAACAGUCUGUUUUGGAUAAGUUCAAAAAAAAAAAAAAAAAACAGUCUGUUUUGGAUUUCUGAUCAUGGCACACCAUCGAAGUAUUCUGGUCGACUAGUCGCAGUUUUAUUAUCAUAUUAUUGAUGUCUGAGAAAAACUGAAUCACGGUCGUAUGUUGAAAAUUUCAAUUUUUUAAAUUAAGAAAUUCGGCUGCAAAAUUCAUGCAGUGCAUAUUGUAAUGUAAGCAGAUAGCUACUCUUCCAAGAAUAUCUGGUAUCUUUUUAUUAUAUUUAUUUCCAAUCUAAAAAAGACUGAUUUGUGUUAUGCAUUGGUACUAUUAUUCAUAUCUUAUACUCUUAUUUUACAGUGUUUUUCAUAGUUAUGAUUGUUACUUGUUAAUUUUUGAAUGGUAUAUUUGCUAAGUCGUCAGCACAUAGAUUUGCUUCCCCUAGAUAGAGGCUAAAGCAAGCUUCGCACAAUUAGUUUCUUGGUACUGACUGGUCACAUUAAUCAUGUAACUAACAUCUAAUUUAUCUGACUUUUUGCAUUUCAUUAGUUUAGUAAUCUCAUACUUUUCUGUUUUUUCCAAUAUAUCAAACCAAACGUACCCUUCUUAAAAGUCAACUCCCUCAUAACGAAAACAAAUUAAUUUGAUUUAAUUGAAUGAUGGAAUUCUUUAUCAUAACCAAAAGGUAUUUGUAAAAUACAAAACCAGACUUAUUCAGGUUUAUACUUUCUGGUGAAAAUGAGUUGAUGAUUCCGUUGUCGGAAAAUCUAAUAUUUACAAUCUCGUGUCAAAAGUUUCAUUUAUAAUAUCUAAAAUAAAUAAAAAUUAUUUACAGGCUUUACUAAUUCCAGUGACGACCAACAUAAUAAACCUCCUAAGAAAAAGUCAACUCCUUUCAUCAUCUUCAUGAUUUUGUUCCCACAUGAUAAAUACCCAAAGAAGCUAUUCAUAGUAACGUCUCCACAAACAUAUUCCUCUCGACUCUCCAACAUGCGAAACGACGCGUUUUAUCUUCACUAAAACGGUGUCGUUAGUAGCUGCGUAGCUCCCAAGUUAACCUCUUGCUUCGUCUACAAAUGGGAAACGGAGCAAGUGGCUGUUGCGUGGCCGGAGACACUUCGAGACGAUGCGGUGUCGAACGCUUUCACGACAACCUCGGUCACUCUUUCAGCUAUGUCCGACCAGUCCUCGACGGAUCAAGACCUUCUUUCACGCAGGAACCGUCUCUCCAACCCGACCCGAUCCCCGGAACCACGACCACUUUCCGUUCAAUCUCCGGCGCUUCCGUUAGCGCCAAUAAUUCAACGUCUCUCUCUGACUCUCUCUCAACGGACUCGUCGUUAAAGGCCUCCGGGUUCGAGAGCUCUAACAAGUUCGCUUCAUUUCCCCUCAAGCCUGUGCCGCGUGGUCCGACGAAGAAGCCGAGUCACGUGUCCGGUCCGUUCGAGCGACGGUUUUUAUCCGGUCCGAUCGAAACCGGUUUGGUUAAGAAGAAAAAGAAGACCAAAUCAUUUUCUAAACCUAAACCGAACAAGAGACUUGCCACGUUUAAAACCAUUUUCACAAACUUGAUAUCUAACAAUCAAUCUCGCUCGAAGAAGGGCUUGAUCGAGCCAAUCAAUAGUUUCAAUUCAUCAACUUCGGAUCAUCAUAGACCUGAGAUCAAUAACUCAAGCACAAGCACGACUCUGAGCAGCCAAGAGAGCCCUAGAACCAAAGAAAGAGAAGACUCUGAAGAAGAAGAAGAAGAGGGGAAGAGUGAGUGUUCUCUAGAGGAGCCAAAGAUUCAAUGGGCGGAGGGUAAAGCAGGGGAAGACAGAGUACACGUCAUCCUCUCUGAGGAAAACGGUUGGCUUUUCGUGGGGAUUUACGACGGAUUCAACGGUCCAGAUCCACCGGAUUAUCUUCUCAACAAUCUCUACACCGCCGUGCUCAAAGAGCUCAAAGGGUUGCUAUGGGACGACGAAAACAACUCCGAUGAUAUUGCAUCAUGUAGCGAAGACGGUCAGUCCCAGAUCAAGAAACAGAGUAGUACACUGGAAGGAGGCACUGUUGCUUGUGACACAAGAAACAUAGUUGCUUGUGACUCAAGAAACAUAGCUGAGGAUGUGAAGAAGCUGCAAUGGAGAUACGCUUCGAAACAGAAUUAUAUAGAAUCUGACUCGGAGAUGAUUAACCACAAAGACGUGCUGAAAGCACUUGAACAAGCGUUGAUGAAAACAGAGGAAGCGUUUGAUCAAACGGUGGAUGAGAAUCCAGUGUUAGCCUUGAUGGGGUCCUGCGUACUUGUGACACUAAUGAAAGGUGAAGACGUUUACGUGAUGAGCGUCGGAGAUAGCCGAGCGGUUUUGGCGCAAAGAUCGUAUCUCGGGAGGAAGAAGGUGGCGAAUGAUCUUCAGAGAAUCAAGGAAGAGGGUGGUCCGUUAAAGACUUGUUUGGUCAGAGAAAAAAGAGUCAGUCUUCUGGUUCCUGUUCAGCUCACUAUGGAACACAGCACAAACGUUCAAGAGGUAACACUUUUAUUACAAACUGUUCUGUUUUGAUUCGGAAAAUAAUGAGGAUACUGAUUUUAAGUUUUCUUUAGGAAGUGAGAAGAAUCAGGAAUGAACAUUCUGAUGAUCCAUUGGCGAUAGAGAAUGGUAGAGUGAAAGGUUACCUCAAGGUCACUCGUGCAUUUGGCGCUGGAUUUCUCAAACAAGUAUGAACAUUUAUUUAGAAUAAUUUGAAUUUUUAAGUGGACUACGCAUGGUAGUAGUUCAUAUCAUGGUGAGAUUUUAUGGGUUAUAAGCAAUCUAGUAAAAAGUUCUAUUAGAAAAAUUAUAUAAAUUUGGGGUUUAUAUUUACGUAAAUUAUUUCUUAAAUUUUGGGGGCCACAUGCUAAAGUUUCACUUGUCUAUACUCAUGGCAGACUAUAUAUUAGGUGUUUAUUAUUCCUUAUAUAUCUAGCUAAAGAUUAAACGCUUUUCUUCAGCCGAAGUGGAACAAGGCGGUUCUAGAGAUGUUCAGAAUAAACUACGUUGGAACAUCGCCGUACAUCACGUGCUCCCCGUCGCUUCACCACCACAGACUCACGCCGCAUGAUAAGUUCCUUAUCCUCUCUUCUGAUGGAUUGUAUGAAUACUUCUCCAGUGAGGAAGUCAUCUUCGAGGUCGAGUCUUUCAUAUCAGCCUUCCCUGAAGGCGAUCCUGCUCAGCAUCUCAUCCAAGAAGUCCUCCUUCGAGCAGCCAAAAAAUAUGGUACUAAGAACUAAAACGCAAACGCAGUUUAACAUGCAUAACGCUAAAAAAAACUCACGUACAACUUUGUUUGGUUUUCAGGUAUGGAUUUCCACGAAUUGUUGGAGAUACCUCAAGGAGAUCGUCGCAAGUAUCAUGACGAUGUUUCUGUGAUUGUGAUUUCACUUGAAGGAAGAAUUUGGAAAUCCUCCAUGUGAAUAAAAAACCGUGUGUGAAUUGUGAUCCACUUAGUUUUUUGUUAUGUUAUCUAUUUCUGGCAUACACAAUAUGCUGUGUUUUCCAUAACCAAAUAUUUAGUGUAGCAAAUAUGAUAUAUAAUGCAAGAAGAGAAUGACCAUUUUAUUUUGGCAUAAUAUAUAGUUAGACGGUAUGUAUCUUUUUGUAUUGGUCACUUAACUGUAUUUGGUAAGGAGAAACAACAUCCCCUGCUUUCAAUAUGCCAUAUUUUUGCCAACCAUAUCAUAAUCGUAAUCUUAUUGUACCAGUAACCACAAAUUCACAUGCUUUUUGGUUUGAUAACUGGUCACUUGGUUGGUCCAUUAGCUAGGGGCUCACAACACAUGAGUACCGACCAACUCAAAGUUACAGGUGAUAUAGUUAUAACUAUGCUCUUUCUUUUCAUUCUUCUGUGACUAAGAGUCUAAGACUAACCCCAAAACUUUGAAAACCUUAUCAAACAGGUUAAAACCAAAAAAGAAGCAAAAAAUGGACAUUCGUUCGUCGAUAGAAAGUAUAUAAACAGUGUUUCUCUGUUGCGGGACUUGUCAACUUUCACCCCAAGAUAUUUUCAUUUCUAGAAUCUUGAAUAUAUUUAUUUGCCAAAAAGUACAUGAAAACAUUGAUUGCAUAGCAUUGUGCCUUUGGCAACAGUAAAAACCACUUUUCAUAUUUGUAAUAUUCGAUAUUUCGGAUAAGAUUCGGGAAAUGAUUUCUCCUAUAUUCUCUCCCGACCACUCAUAGUGAAUUCUCCUUUUGAAAGAUUUUCGCCUUCUCCUUUUCUGUUCUCUAAUAAUAUCAAGAAGACAAGAAAUAACUCUUUUCUUAGAUAUUUUAUUUAAAAAAAAACUCUUUUCCUAGAUAUAUUUUUAGAUAUUUCAUUUACAAGAAGUAAUUUGGAUAUUUUCCUUGUAAAAGUAAUUCUUAGAUUUACUAUUUGACUUUGAUUACUAAAUUGAAUAUUUGUGUUUAUUUCUUACAUUAUGUAUUUGAAGUAGAACACAUAUAGAAAUGAGGUUUUAGGAACAAUAAAAUAAAAUUAGAUAUCUCAAACUUUGAAUUCUGUUAAGAAUUUUUCAGUUUAAAGCUUUUUUAAAUUGCUCUUAAACAAAAAUAUCAAAAUCUCACUAAAAAGUAAAAAAAAUCUCAAUUUUUUUUUCUGCAAAAGCACUAGUAAUAGAAUAAUGAUGUGUCAUGCGUGCAUGUGGGUUGAAAACAAUUUAAACCACAACCGUAGAUUUAGAUAUGCAUAAAAGGCGGUGUAAAACUGGACGAUGAUAAGGCUGUAACACACGGAACUCCAAAACGCUCUAGGACGUACCAGAACAAACACACGCUCCACAAUUAUUGUUCCGACAAUUAUUGAAACCGACGUACGAGAAUCAAUGCCUCGAAGGGUAAAGGCGUAAAUAAGGACUAAUAUGUGGACUGAUAUUUAAUUUUAGGAGAUAAGAGCGGAGAGGGAUUGCGACACGUGUAUGGUCAGUAUUCUCUCAUUUAGCCUAUAAAGUUGGAGGCUUCAUCAAUCUAAAAAUUCAUUCUGUGAUAACUUUCUACCAGCGAUCAAUUUGAUAAACAUUCUCUGCUAUUUCUUCGGUCUUUCUCGAGAAAAUGUCUUGCUGUGGUGGAAACUGUGGUUGUGGAUCUGGCUGCAAGUGCGGCAACGGUUGCGGAGGGUAUGCCUCGAGCCUCUGUUAAUUAAGUUUUCGAUUGUAACAAUUUUCUAUUUUAAACUCUGUUUUCAUUUGAUCGUAACGUGUGAUGUUUCGGUUGUCGCAGUUGCAAAAUGUACCCGGACUUGGGCUUUUCCGGCGAGUCGACCACGACCGAGACUUUUGUCUUCGGCGUUGCACCGGCGAUGAAGAACCAGUACGAGGCUUCUGGAGAGGGUGUCGCUGAGAACGAUGCAUGCAAGUGUGGAUCUGACUGCAAGUGUGAUCCUUGCACCUGUAAAUGAAUAAUAAUGGAACCUUUCUAAGGAGGCAGAGAUAAUCAGAGUUUAAUUAUAUUAAGUAA
rnacentral:lncRNA from 1 species